rnacentral:lncRNA from 1 species
AUUGGGGAGACCUUGCCUGGGCAGCACAGUAGAGCUGACCCUGGUGGCAAAAAUGCAGAUUGGCCAGUGCCUAGAUCAACAAAAUGAAGUGGAGUAAUUCAUUCAACAAAUAUUUAUGCAACACUUUCUCAACCCCGAAGGGACACAGAAGCAUUUGCACUGAAAGUCUGCUAGAAGAGAGUGACAUUGAACUGAGUUCUUAGUAAUAGCUCAAGGGUGAAAGAGAAAAGAGUUUCCCAAAUAAUAUAUGGAGAUACACAAAGCAGAGAAAAGAAGCAGGAGUUGUGAUAAAAGUUCAUAAAUCCCAUUGUCCUUGCUGGGAUGUAAACAUUGAGUUGUGAGAGGUAUGACCACAGAGUGGCAAGAAUCAAUUGUGAGAGACUUUGCUCCAAAUUGUAAAUCUUGGGUUUUGUCUCCCUACUUUUACAAAGAUGUUAAAAGAGUUCCAACACAGAAAUUGACUGUUUAUUUGGGUAUUUCUGAGGGAUCCUUCCUGGUAGAUGUUGAGAUGCCUUUGAUUGGCUCAAGAAUGGAGAAGGAAGAGCAAUUACAAAAUAAAUAAAAAAGAAAGGACAAAAUAAAUCAUGAGAAAAACUAAGACAA